rnacentral:rRNA from 1 species
GAUGAACGCUGGCGGCGUGCCUAAUACAUGCAAGUCGAGCGAACGGACGAGAAGCUUGCUUCUCUGAUGUUAGCGGCGGACGGGUGAGUAACACGUGGAUAACCUACCUAUAAGACUGGGAUAACUUCGGGAAACCGGAGCUAAUACCGGAUAAUAUUUUGAACCGCAUGGUUCAAAAGUGAAAGACGGUCUUGCUGUCACUUAUAGAUGGAUCCGCGCUGCAUUAGCUAGUUGGUAAGGUAACGGCUUACCAAGGCAACGAUGCAUAGCCGACCUGAGAGGGUGAUCGGCCACACUGGAACUGAGACACGGUCCAGACUCCUACGGGAGGCAGCAGUAGGGAAUCUUCCGCAAUGGGCGAAAGCCUGACGGAGCAACGCCGCGUGAGUGAUGAAGGUCUUCGGAUCGUAAAACUCUGUUAUGAGGGAAGAACAUAUGUGUAAGUAAAUGUGCACAUCUUGACGGUACCUAAUCAGAAAGCCACGGCUAACUACG